rnacentral:rRNA from 1 species
UACGUAGGUGGCGAGCGUUGUCUGGAUUUACUGGGCGUAAAGGGAGCGUGGGCGGACUUUUAAGUGAGAUGUGAAAUACCCGGGCUCAACUUGGGUGCUGCAUUUCAAACUGGAAGUCUAGAGUGCAGGAGAGGAGAAUGGAAUUCCUAGUGUAGCGGUGAAAUGCGUAGAGAUUAGGAAGAACACCAGUGGCGAAGGCGAUUCUCUGGACUGUAACUGACGCUGAGGCUCGAAAGCGUGGGGAGCAAACAGGAUUAGAUA